rfam:Pseudomonas batumici strain TCM B-321 Contig_22, whole genome shotgun sequence.
AUUAUCUGGGCUGGUUCGCUGUCGUUGGCAGCACCUUCCCAGGUAGCCAGGACCUUCAAGGCUACGGUGGGCUUUCAAGCUCAUGGGUCAUCAGUAGUUCGCUCAGCAUUCGGAAGCGCGAACAAUCGACGAAACCCUCGUCGACCGAAUGC